CUGGGAGUGGGCCUGGAGAGCAGUGGGGGCUCAGGCUGAGUCUGGAUCCUGCUGGAGGGGCUUGGGGAGCAGCACGUGCAGGCUCUCUGGUCAUGGUUUGCUGUCAGUUAAAUGGCUGAGAUAUGAAAAUGAGAGUGGCCCUCAGGUGCUUUGAGCCCCAUGCCUGCUGGAGAUGGAGCUGCUGCAGGAGCUCCUGGUUGGCUUUGCCUGCAGAAACUCACAACAAAGGGGAUCUGCCUUGGGAAUCACAGGAGGGCCGGGGAUGACGGACGGGCGGUGAAUGAGCCAUCGCUGCCUCCCGGAGCUGUACACACACACACACACACACACACACCGAGGGAAUCGCCGCAGACCCGCAGAGCUCCGGGCCGUGCAGGGCUCCAGUCCCGUGUGGAAUGCCGUGUUCGUGCCCCCAGAGGGGCAGCACCGGGCUGGCCGGGCUGGUGUCACCCGCCGCAGGGACAGGCAGCUCCAGCUGGGGUGCCCUGCUCGGGCAGCAGUCCAGGUGUUCCCCAUCACUGUCUUUGGAACCUGAGAUGCCCCUGGUGUCACAGAGCACCUCCCACCUCCUCCUGCACCCUGCAGCAGGUGAGGGCUGUCCUGCUGCCCACCCUGGGGGGAUUUGGGAGCUCAGGGCUUGGCUGCGUGGUCUCCUCCUUCCAGCUCCUUCCCAGUGGAACAAACACGGGAUCCUGAGGGGCCCCAGGACACGGAAUGCUGAGGGUGCAGCACUGCAGCUGUUUCUGCUGAGCCAGAUGUUCCACAGAGCAUUCCUCUGCACCCUGUGGAAAGGCUCAGAGAUGGACAUUGGACACUGGCUCUGCACAGGACCCAGCCAGCUGAACGAGACACGGGCCAGUGAGUAAAGGUCUCUUUUAUGAACCAAGGCCAUUCAUGCUUUGCCAAGGCCUUCCCUUGAGAUGCCUGAAUAAAUUCCCUGGAUUGACAGGGCCUGCAGAGCAGCCCUGUGAGUGAGAGGGACUCUGCUCAGCUCCUUCCUCCUGGGUGUGCAGCUCUGCAUUCACUCGGGCAGGAAAGGUCAUUUUUCAAAUCCAAGGAAAAUAAUUUUUCUUUUCUGGUGACUUUACAGGCACUGAACAUAGUCUGGAAAUCUCCAAAUCUCCAAGUGGCCUUUAAUUAACUAAUCUGAUAAAGUGACUGUGCCUAAUGCUGGGGGGUUUCCCAAAGUCCCUGGGCUCUGGGAUGGACCUUCCUGCAGUGGGGAGAGCACAGGGCUGUGGCAGCAGCUCUGGUGGAGAGGAGAGGAGGGAUCCUGGAGCCACAGCCUGGGGCUGGCUGGAAAGGACCCUGGAGCUCCUCUUGGUGUGGGGUUACAGCCCCUUUUUGAGGGGAAAAGAGCCCCAGAGCUCUCUGUGCUUCCUGCAGCCCCUGCACGCAGCCUGUGCCACAAACUGAAACUGAGCCUUUUGUUCCUCUGCCUGGAACUCCCCAGCCCUUCCUGCAGCUGAGGGGCUGCUGUGGGACAGACACUGCCCUGGGCCCAGGGUCCUUCUCAUGGGGCUGUUCCAGGCCUUGUGGUGCCAAACCACAGCUCCUGGUGAG